UGCACUCCGUGACGUCGUCGAUGACGUCGCGGGGGCAUCCCUAUUAAUUUUUUUUUUCUCUUUUUGGUCGGACUACAGACUAUAUCCCGUGGCCCAAGCAAACCCACAAUUCAGUUUGAUUUCCAACUCUCAGACAAGCGGACGUAUUGGUGGGCUUUGUCGUCACUCGCUGCCGGCAGCAGAAACAACAACAAAACCAAAACAAAGCGUAUAAACAAACGCGGUUUUCUUCUUUUUCGAGUCGGGUCGAAAAUCUAUAUAUCCCCCGCACAAGCCCACCGAAACUCACCUUCUUCUCCUCGAGUUCCCGGAUCAAAACCUAAAAAAUGGACGUGGGGGAAUAGACCAGAAUUAAAGCGAAAUUAGUAAAAUGUUUGUAAACAAAGCGGGUCGCGAAAUUGCGCUCUUUUUUUGGAUCUCGAUCCCGAGAGCGUUGGUUUUCAACCCACCUUUGCCGUCUCCUCCAGCGGCCCCGCAGCCAGGAACUUGGAGAUGAGGAAGUACAGCUCUGCAAGAUAGGGAAUUUCACGGGUUUUAGUGCAACAAGUUGUUGGAAACGGACUCGCACGGAGUCGCCAAUAUGGAAAAUAUAUCAGGCAAAAGGGGACCCGUGCAAUUCACACGGCCAAACGCAGCCAAAAACGCAGCCAUUCUAUUCGAAGGGCGAGAAACACAGACACACACUUCGAGCAGAAAGCCAAGGGGCUGCGAUCCGGGGCCCGUAUUCACACACUCGCCACGCCCCCGGACGCUUCUUCUUCCCGUGUGACAUUUGAGUGCCAUUCGGCCCGAAGGUUCGCGCAGGCGUAUCGAUAGACUGCGCGACGCUCACGAGGUCACUAUCGAUUGUAGUUCCGCUGGUCUGUCGGAAAAUUUUCGUAUUUGAAUUUUUGAUGGGGAACACACUUUUACAAAGGGAUGCUUCGUAGUUUUCUAUGUUCUCUAGCUUAAGCUUUUAUUUAUAAAUAAUAAAUUUAUAAAAAAGGGUUAAA